UGACUGAACAGACGCAAGCAAGCGAGUGGUGUCGUUGAUUUUUUCGCAAACGUCUCAAUUUCUUUAGAAGAUAGAAAAUCUUUUCAUUUAUUUAUAUUUACAAUAUAGAAGUGUAGGAAAAUGCAGUUUUGGAGCACUCGAAAAUGUCGCUGCUUAGCAAUUUUUAUGGUAAUUUACGUCCUUUAUAAUCCUACGGAUUCUGGAGCUGUGGACAUGACCAGUGAAAAUGUUGACAUGACACUAGCGUCUAACGAAUUGGUUUUCCUUAAUUUCUACGCCGAA
rnacentral:lncRNA from 1 species